AUACGUAGGGGGCGAGCGUUAUCCGGAAUUACUGGGCGUAAAGAGUGCGUAGGUGGCUGCUUAAGCGUGAGGUGAAAGGCAAUGGCUUAACCAUUGUGAGCCUCGCGAACCGGGUGGCUUGAGUGCAGGAGAGGAAAGCGGAAUUCCUAGUGUAGCGGUGAAAUGCGUAGAUAUUAGGAGGAACACCAGUGGCGAAGGCGGCUUUCUGGACUGCAACUGACACUGAGGCACGAAAGCGUGGGGAGCAAACAGGAUUAGAUACCCUGGUAGUCCACGCCGUAAACGAUGAGCACUAGGUGUCGGGGUCGCAAGACUUCGGUGCCGCAGUUAACGCAUUAAGUGCUCCGCCUGGGGAGUACGCACGCAAGUGUGAA
rnacentral:rRNA from 1 species